GGUAUCGUGUCAGUUGUCUAUUGUGCGUUCUGUGUGUUUGGCUUUCUCAUGUCUUUUACCUUAGCCCUUUGAGGGGCCUAUCAGAAACCCUGGCAUCAUUCUUAGCAUCUGUGAUCUCUGCAUUUCUUGGCCUGGCACCAAUGCCACAGGACUUAUGACUCAGGAGCUCAGAUAGGCAUCGGAAUUGCACCUCUCUUUAGGAGCAUCCAGUCAGAUGUCUUUGCAGGUCUUGUUCUGAGCUGUAUGUACCUUGCAAGGAUCCAUUAUGGCAGAUUAGGACUUGUAAGAAUGCGAGGAUAGGUAGAGGACUCUGACUAUAGAAUUCACAGGCAUCCAUCUUUGCAGUUCUUAAAACAAAUCAUUCAGUUAGCAUCUUCUUCCUACCAGGGCUCUCUGAGCCUCAUCGGCUCACCAUCAGUCUCACCUCAGUCCUCUCAUUUUGCAUUCUCUCAGUCCUUGCAGUCAUUCUUCUUGCCAAGAGAUUCCUGUCCCUGUUGUGUCCCCCUUGUUUGUCAUGUCGUGUCCUGUGUCACGGGUGUCUGCACGUAUUUGUGCCAGAGCUGCUCUGCCCUGCUGCGUAGCCUGGUGUAAUAGGACAAAUCCUGGGGGCUUGAAAUUUGUAGUGUGGGCUGUAGUUGGACUCUAGAUGAUAUUCCUAGGCUGACCCAGAUGUCUGGAGCUGUGAAGUGGUCCUGCAGCCCUUUGACAUUUUUCCUAACUUUCUUUCAGAUGCAGAUGGAUAAAAUCCAUGGCAGAGCACCCCAUCCCAGGAAGUAAAGUGAUAGAGCAACAGUCAAGUUGAAGUGGUCAAGGCAAUCUACUCAGGUUAUGCCAAGCCCCUGUCAUCAACCAGCCGAUUGACCAGGUUUGCUGCUCUCAUGAGCCCUGUGGAGGUAUUGCAGGACCCUGUGAUGAAGCCUUGAAAUUUUCUAUUUAAAGGUUGCUUCUGGGUAGCCCUCAGGAAUGGGCAACGAGCCGUGGUGAG